UGUGUCAUUCUCCCAGGCAAUAGCGGUCAGCUGAUAACUUUUGUGCAUUGAGCGAGGAGUGUCUGUCGUUGUUUAUAAUAAAUUUGACCCGAGAAACCUAAGAGAUAAGAAAAUAUUUGUAAUUAUUAUAAUCGAAUCCCAACUUUUAGUAGCUUCUUUGAUUCAGAAAAAUGUCAAGUGUGCAAACUGUCUCCACAAAUCCGUAUGAAGGCCAAAAGCCGGGAACUAGUGGUCUACGUAAAAAAGUAAAAGUAUUUUUACAGGAGAAUUACACUGAAAACUUUAUUCAAAGUAUUUUGGAUGCGAAUAAGGAAUCCAUAGAGGGUUCAACACUAGUUGUUGGCGGUGAUGGCAGAUAUCUCGUUAAAGAAGUCGUAUCUAAGAUUAUAAAAAUAUCGGCGGGAAAUGGGGUUGCAAAACUCCUUGUUGGUCAGAAUGGUAUUUUGUCAACGCCAGCUGUGUCACAUAUCAUCAGAAAAUAUAAAACUUUAGGAGGUAUAGUACUGACAGCAUCCCAUAACCCGGGUGGUAUCAACAAUGACUUCGGCAUCAAGUUUAACUGCAGCAAUGGCGGGCCAGCUCCGGACAAUACCACGAACGAAAUUUACAAGAUCAGCGCUGCCAUAAAACAGUACAAGAUAGUACCUGACAUCGCAUGUGAUAUUGAUAAAGUUGGCGUCUACAAAUUUAAGGUAGAAGAUCGUGAUUUCGAAGUGGAAGUUAUAGAUUCUGUGAAAGACUAUGUCGACUACAUGAAGGAGAUAUUUGACUUUCCGAAAAUCAAAACUUUACUGCAAGGAUCGGAACAGAGAAAACCAUUUAGAGUACUUAUUGAUUCGAUGAAUGGAGUGACCGGGCCGUAUGUGAAGCGUAUAUUUAUCGACGAACUUGGAGCCUUCGACGACAACGUUCGUCGUGUCACACCCUUGGAGGACUUCGGCGGAGCCCAUCCCGACCCCAACUUGACUUACGCUGCCGACCUCGUAACAGCUGUUAAGAACGGAGGCUACGACCUUGGUGCGGCUUUUGAUGGUGACGGCGACAGGAACAUGAUAAUAGGCCGCGACGCGUUCUUCGUGACCCCGUCGGACUCUCUGGCGGUACUGGCUCACAACCUGGAGCACGUGCCGUACUUCCAACGUACCGGAGUGCACGGGUUCGCGCGGAGCAUGCCCACCGCGGCAGCCGUGGACCGCGUCGCUGAGGCGCUCGGCAAGGAGAUGUUCCAGGUGCCCACUGGAUGGAAAUACUUCGGUAAUCUCAUGGACGCUGGGCGGCUCUCUCUCUGCGGCGAGGAGAGUUUCGGCACGGGCUCUGACCACGUGAGGGAGAAGGAUGGUCUGUGGGCGGCACUGGCUUGGCUCUCUGUCAUCGCUGGCGUCGGCAAGUCCGUUGAGGAUAUACUUAUCGAGCACUGGAAGAAGUUUGGAAGGAAUUACUUCACGAGAUAUGACUACGAGGAGUGUGCCAGCGAGUCGUGUGCGGACAUGAUGCGAGAGCUGGAGCGGCGCAUGACGGCUCCAGGGUUCGUGGGCAGCACCUUCGUCAGCGGGGAGAAGAGCUACGUCGUGGCCCUCGCUGACGACUUCUCCUACAUGGACCCCGUCGACCGCAGCGUCGCCAUGAAGCAGGGUCUUCGGAUAGUGUUCGAGGAUGGUUCCCGCAUCGUGUUCAGGCUCAGCGGUACUGGAAGUUCUGGAGCUACCGUCCGCUUGUAUAUAGACUCGUACGAAGCAACAUCGGUGCUGGGUUCCGCGCAGGAGAUGCUCGCGCCGCUCAUCGACGUGGCGCUGCGGAUCUCCGAUCUCAACAAGUACACGGGCCGGGACAAACCCACCGUCAUCACAUAAUCAUCACCCGAAUGUAUGGCACAAGGUGACGGGAUAAGUCUUGUAUCGUGAAAUCUAUUCUAAAUGUAACAUGUGAAACUAAGCUCCGAUUACACCAAUGACACUUCAGACUGAGUUUAACAAAACUCAGGUUUACGCAAACGAGAUCAAAUGCCAGUCUUGAUCCCGAUUAAAUACAAAGCGAUUUCACCAAUACCUUUUGAACGUGUUGACAUAAACUGAGUUUACAUAUUAUUGUUAUAAACAAUAGAAUGUAUCAAAUAACUGUCAAAACUGGCAUCGAUAAGUAUGAACAAAAUCAAAAUUGUUAAAUGUCUCUGUUGCUAUUGUGAUUACGACAGUGACGGCUCUUGAACGCGUUCAAAUAUGUUGAAUGUGGUAGGUAUACCACGUUCAACAUAUUCCACAGUAGCCUCAGUAGGAUGAAUAGAAUAUUUAAACGCGUUUAGGAUUUAACUGCGUUUACUUUGUAUUGGUGUAAUCCGAAUUGAUUCUGUAAUAGUUAUUUAUGCAAUUACUUCUGUGUAAUAAGGGGUAUCAAAACACGAAUGUGGGUUGAUAAUAGUAUCACAUGAGUGUUUUAAUACCUAAUUAUUAACAGUUGCAUACAAGACUAUAUCUACACCCUUAAUAUGAAUCCUCUAUAAAAGAUUCUGAAACAGUUAGCUUACUGCUAACAUUAAAAGAGCCAGUCCUAGUAACCAUAAUACCAUCCAAUGGAGUGAAAUGAAUGUUGUGUACUGAAUUUCAUUAAAACACUCGUUUGGAUGAUGUAAUGGUUAUUAGGACAUGAGGUGUUUUAAUGUUGGCAAUAAGCUAACUGUUUUAGAAUCUUUAAUAGAGGAUUUAAAGCAAGUAGAUAAACUCGUUUAUACGCCUUAGUUCAAAGUUUUAAAUCGCGUUCUACUUCAGUGGUUAAAUCGGGGCUUUAUGUCUUAUCUAUAGGCGUACCCUAUUUUUAUUAUUAGUAAACCAAUAACUGUUUUUUUUAUAGUUAAGAACACAAAUGUAUCAAGAGGGAUUUCAACAAAUUAGACAUAUUGCGUCAAACCGAAACACAAUAUUUAUGAUUUUGAUGUGUUUACUUUUAAUUUUCAUGUUAACUGAAUUAUUACAAGUAUACUAGUUUUUUUUUGUUAUUUAAAUAUGUGUUGUAGUUAUUUUAAUAAUGUUUCAUACUUUUAUAUAUUUAUAAGCAUGCAUGUUUUGAGAAUGAAUUGUUACAUUUUUCAAUGUUUAUGUUUUAACAUAAGCGCUUUGUUUAAAACAUUUUUUUUCUUUCUUAAUUUUUAUAAAACCUGUUUUUUUUUUAUUUACUUUUUGUUAUGCUUAAUACAAAUCUAUUUACAUGGGAAAUAAUAAUAUAAAAAUACUCUAUUAUUGUUAUUGUUUCUAAAUUUUAAUAUAUUUAAUUUAGGAAUAAAACCACAACCAAAGUUAAAAAGGGCAAUUUAUUUAAAAGUUCGAUAAUAAUAUUGAUAAAAAUUGUGAUUAAAUGUUUCUAAAACUAAACUUAAGUAAAUUUUAUAUGAUAUUUUUAUGAUCGAAAUCAAAGAUAUUUGCUAUGUUGUGUUUGUGAUAAAAAAAAUUGUAAGGAGAAUUGGUCUUUUGAAUUAGAUAUGAAGAACAACAAUCAACUUUUAAUAUAAUUUUAUUUUAUGUUAAACAUGUAACUUUUAUUGAUAUUGUUAAAAAUAAAAUAACUAAUUCUAAUGUAAA